rnacentral:rRNA from 1 species
CUCUAUGGCCAUGCCACCCUGAACAUGCCCAAUCUCAUCUGAUCUCAGAAGCUAAGCAUGGUCGGGCCUGGUUAGUACUUGGAUGGGAGACCACCUAGGAAUACCAGGUGUUGUAGGCG